rnacentral:rRNA from 1 species
UACAGAGGUCCCGAGCGUUGUUCGGAUUCACUGGGCGUAAAGGGUGCGUAGGUGGCAUAGUAAGUUUGAUGUGAAAGCUCAGGGCUUAACCCUGAAAUGGCAUUGAAUACUGCUGUGCUGGAGGUUUGGAGGGGGGACUGGAAUUCUUGGUGUAGCAGUGAAAUGCGUAGAUAUCAAGAGGAACACCAGUGGCGAAGGCGAGUCCCUGGACAACACCUGACACUGAGGCACGAAAGCUAGGGGAGCAAACAGG